AGGUUAGGACGGGGGUAUCCUCUGGCACUCUAAAGAUUAAGCACCUUAUUCAAACUAAUGCACUUUAUUGAGAUGGGAUUUGAGUAGUCGUUUGUUUCUUUUAUUUUUUUCUUUCGGUAUGUGUGUGAGUGUUUGAAAUCAGUGCACACACGAUAUGUGUACACACACAUCUGUGUGGGGGGGGCGGUGAACGAGCAGGCGGGGGGGCGAUGUUAGGUUUUCAAAGUCAGGGGGACCUUUUUAGUUGAAACCUUAUCAGAGAGCAAAUCCUUUCUCAAAAGACAAACACUGUUGAUAUUUCUCUUUGUUGAGCAUUUUUUUACAUUUAUAUAUAAAAAAGUAAAGCUAUGGAAAAAAAAUUUGAGUAUAAAAAAACUUGAAGAUUUGCACUUGCCUCAAAAAAAAAAAACAAAAGACAAAAAAACAACAAAUGGGGUUAGAUAGAGAAGUGAAUAUUUUUGUGAAUGUGUAUGCGUGGAAGAUGUGUGCUGGCGUGUGUGUCGGUAAUAAUAUACAGUCUGCACAAUGUUUCUUUUUUAUUUUUUUUAUUUUAUUUUUUUUAUUUUGUUGCUUACCAAGAUGUAUGAAACAUAAGAGGCCAUUUAUGUCUUACUUUUUCAGUUCAGGCAGUAAUUUCUAUUCAUGUUCCGAGUGCGUGCGUGCGUCUGCGUCCCUUUCCAAGCGGGGGAUUUGAUCUGUUCGAUUCGAGAGUGCGACUGAACGAGAGAGAGGCCAACUGCACAAACAUCCUUUCUCUCACCAGCUCUUCAUCCCCAGACAGAAUUAAAAAAAAAACAAAAGAACUCAACGCAUUCAUUUGUAAAUGUUAGCUUUGCUCUCAUGGUUUGAUGGACGCCGCUUUCCCUCGGAGUCGUCUGCAGUCCUGUGAGGACUAAAACCUGAUGAAUCUUGAGGGGCGUUGGUGUGUGUGCAUCUGAAUGAGGUUCUGUGUGAGUGAGAGGACGUGUUCAUUUACUGUUUGUAGAAAUUAAGACUAUAGGUACUCAUUUUGUAUGUGCUUUUUAUUUUAAUUUUUUUGUAUGAAUGCACAUUUGUGCCUAAGAACUUUUGAUAGGGUGCAUGGCCAUUGAGACAUUAACUCUUUUUUAAGAGUGGAUGCGAUGUGUGUUGGUGCUCAGCACAUUGUAUGUAAAGUAUGUAAGUUUAAAUAUUUCUAGUUCAGUCUAAUUGGGGUGGGGGGGGGUGAUCCAUCGGAAGGUUGGUCAAGUUUGUUUUCCUGGGGUGUGAUCACGUUGCCUUUUGUCAGCUCUCGAUCUUGUGAAUGAAAGGUGUCGAGUUUCUGACUCUGGAAAAAAAAACAGCAUCUUAAUGUGCAAGCGCACAGACGGUGCAUGACAUGUUAGCAUAUUGUGUUACUUAUUCAUUGUUGCGAUUUGAUAAUGACGAGUUUUUUUUAAUAAAAAUAUAUAUGGAUAUAUACAUUAUAUACAAAGUUUAAAAAGUAUUUGGACUAAGAUAAUGAGCACUUGGGGCUGCUAUUUUUGUUGUGUGUAUUUUUUUAUUUUUAUUUUUCUUAAAUUGUUCUUUUUUAUUUUUUUUGUUUCAUUAUUGCCAUGUGAAGUGUGUAUUUUUUUUCUUAAGAAAACAUUGAAUGUAUUCCAAAAAAUUACAAACCCGUGCUGAUAACAAAUUUCUUUUUCCUCAGAAGAUUUCAAAAAAAUGGAAACAAAAUAGAAAAAAAAUAGCUUCAAAGAGGUUUUCAUUUACACAGUGGCGAAGAAGAAGAAGAAAAAAAACUCGGGAUGGACACAGUUGAACACACUGCCUCUACAAUCCUGGUCGUAGUGACUCAGAAUUAAAAGAAAGGACUUUUUUUUUUCUAUUUCAUACUGGAGCUUUGGUUGUUUACAAGCCACAUGGAUAACUGUGGGUGCAGUUUUUUUUUUUUUAUUUAGUUUUGUUUUUGUUCCCACAUUAAGACGGGUGGGGUUUGCAAGUGCGCUUCUGCCAUACGGACAAUGAGUGUUGUUGGGGUUUUUUCUUGAGGACGAGCGGCGGGCUUCUGUGGACACGUUUCUCUAACUUCGGCCCGUUUGAACCCCGAUCAGCAGAAAAAAAAUGAGGAUGGACUUUAUUUUGUGAGGAGCGGAGCGCGGGCCGCGUUAAGCUAGGGAGAACUGGUAGUUUUUGUGCUCGUCUUCACCUCGACCCUCAUACGCACUCACACCCUGCCCUCACCAACUCACCUAUGCACUUUUGUUCAUUCAAGCUGUGAGGUACAAUUUUUGGGGGAUGGGAGCACAAUUACAACAGGAGGGUUGCUACGACUUGGGACAAAGUCACUGAAAAAAAAAAAUCCCAAACUGAGACUCGGGAAGCCAGUCUUCUCCCACCUCCUGUACAUAACCAUAUUUUUGUAUUAUCUUUCAGAGUUAAAAAAAAAAGAGAGAAAAUUUGCAAAUGGAUGAAGGAAAUUCAUUAGACAUACAGAGUGAAUGUUCUUGAUGAAAACCAAUCUUUUUUUGGAUCUAGUUUUAAAUGGACUCGCUGUGAGUUUCCCUUUAUAUGCCAGUAACCGUGAAAUAAUUGGGGAUGGAAGGGGAACCCACAUGGACUGAGGUGUUGGACGUUCUACAGUGGCUCCUAGACUGACUGGUGGCUGCUUAUCACAAUGGACGUUUGUUUGCCACGUUGAGAGCCUAACGAGAGUUUGAUCACCACAUGGUCGAGAGGCAGACUUGGGUUGGAAUGGAGGUCGGUGAGGAUUUCCACUCAGUCUCCCAACCUGAUGACUGCCUUGAGGACUAUAAAGUGACUGCAGGAGGAGGAGUGCAUGGAGUCUGGCUUUGCUUUAUUUGCUGCCCUCUGCAAGGAGGAUUUAAUCUACAGCCAACCCAUGAAUCAGCUAAACUAAAGCUGCCCUUUUUGAACUUGAACCCUAAGACACUUGUCAACCUCGGACUGGGCAGGCCGUCGGCAUCGGUUGGACAAGUUAAUCAGCAAUUGAACACAUCUGGGUCGGACACGUUGGGCUUCGGAUCUGAUCGGACACUCUCCAACGAGGAAGAGGACAGAAAGGCACAACGGUGCCACGAUGAUCACAGCCCCGAACACUUGGAUGGGAGAGGUCUUCUACCGGCAGGACACAUAACCUGCCCUCCUUCCUAAAACAUAAAAGAAUUACAGUGGAGCUCCUUGCAGCUGUGGAACUGGAUGGACUUUAAAAAGGAAUUGUACAAAAAGACUUUUAAAACAUGACAAAAAAAACACGAUUCGCAGAAAUUCUCAAGUCCAAAGGAGCUGCAAACACACACUACAUGCACACUUUACAACAAAAGUUACAUUGACUCUCUGGAACCAUGUCUGCACACACGAUAGAGACACAAAUAUCAAACCACAAAGACAUAAAAGCAUCAGCGCUCAUCGGUAUAAAUGGCGAGCUUUGUUCAUAAUGUAAAGAUUUGUUUGGAUUUUUCUCUCAUAGUGGGGUUUUUUGCUUUACUACUUUGUUCAACAUGCCUUAAAUUGUAUAGUUGAGUCUUGAAUGGCUAACUGAAAAUGUUCUCAAUGAUAAGUUUUAGUUGGAAACCACCUGGUUAACUAUUCUCAAGUUGAAAUAUGGUUUCAACAUUUUCUGUUGGCGAAGAGAGCCGUGGUGCAUAAACCUCAUACAUGUGCAUCCAAUCACCUUUAAAGUUACUAGCUAACUACAGAAUAGAGCAGGAAGUGUUUUUGUUUUUUUUAUUCUAAUUUUGCUGGUGGCUGAUGUUGCCCGUUUGCUUUCUUUGAAAUGGAGAGUGAAUUUGUUCUGAUUUAAGAAAAUUUCAGGUGCAGGCUUAAAAGGGCUGAAGUCUGUACUGUUUGGAGCUGAGCUGAGCUGAUUGGAUUACGCGUAAACAUCAAUAUUUUAACCUCAGUUUGAGAAAACUAAUUUCAGUUAGUGUCAGUGAAAUAAACAAAAAGAUGCUGUUUUCCAGUUCUCAUAUAGUGACUGUAAAAGCAAGCUUGCAUGAUUUAUUGUUGGUCAUUUUGGACACUAAAUGUUUUUUAGGUGCAAAACAAGUUGGUGCAUCUGUUUGUCCUGUCGUUAUUGUUGGCGACUACAUAAGAAGCUAACAAGUCAGCUGUCUGUCUGUUAAAGGAAGGCUCAUUCUGGAUGUGCUUAUUUAAAAUACCUUUAAAACAUUAAGGUUUUUAGUUAACUAGUAGUUUUUUGUCUCAUUGAUAAGUACGUAAAAAGCAGCUUUUAAUCCAAAUGUUACCUGAUCAUAAUUGCCUAGCAUCUGAAUCGUAAAACCUUGUAUGCAUUAUAUUUUUUUGGAGAUUUUUGUGUUACUACCUGCUAUAGCCCCUGAGUAGCUGCAGAAAGCUGGUACACCUUAGUAACGCUUAAUUGUCUCCUAAAUUUAGACAAAGGAAGUCAAAAUGAAGAGUUUGUAACAGAAUUUAAGUUUAUGCGGCAAAGUCUCUUAUUUACGAAUGUCUUUAACAAUGGGGUGUUUUUAAGAUGAUAUUGCGUGGUAUUAAUCAGUGGUUCGGCCUGCUUUACCUAUUUUACUGCACUACAGAUGAUUUUAUUACAUUAACUACUGUAUGGUGUUGUCCGGGAAGCAACAAUUAAAUUGGAUGAUUGAUCUUUUGGAAAAGAUUCCAACAUGGCCGGUGAGCUCGAGGAUAUGAAUUCGAUCAUGUGACGCUUGCUAAAAAGUCCACCUCCAAUUUGGCAGUAAUUGUACUCCAAUCAGCUCAGCUCCACUGCUUAUUAAGUCUUUGAAUGUUGUUUAAAAAAAUAACAACGUAACUGUACAUUUAAUGAAUCUGUUUCAGAAAAGAACAACUGAAAGAUGUGUAAAUAGUUUGACUCCUGUUUGAAGAACAAAAUAAAUACUAAAUAGCA